UACGAAGGGUGCAAGCGUUAAUCGGAAUUACUGGGCGUAAAGGGUGCGUAGGCGGUUUGUUAAGUCUGUUGUGAAAUCCCCGGGCUCAACCUGGGAGGUGCAUCCGAUACUGGGUAGCUAGAGUGUAGUAGAGGGAGGUGGAAUUUCCGGUGUAGCGGUGAAAUGCGUAGAGAUCGGAAGGAACACCAGUGGCGAAGGCGGCCUCCUGGACUAACACUGACGCUGAGGUACGAAAGCGUGGGGAUCAAACAGG
rnacentral:rRNA from 1 species